UACGGGGGGGGCAAGCGUUGUUCGGAAUUACUGGGCGUAAAGGGCUCGUAGGCGGCCAACUAAGUCAGACGUGAAAUCCCUCGGCUUAACCGGGGAACUGCGUCUGAUACUGGAUGGCUUGAGUUUGGGAGAGGGAUGCGGAAUUCCAGGUGUAGCGGUGAAAUGCGUAGAUAUCUGGAGAAACACCGGUGGCGAAGGCGGCAUCCUGGACCAACACUGACGCUGAGUGAGCGAAAGCCAGGGGAGCAAACGGG
rnacentral:rRNA from 1 species